rnacentral:piRNA from 1 species
UAAGAUCUGGCCAUAGAUUAAUCAA